rnacentral:rRNA from 1 species
GGCGAACGGGUGAGUAACACGUGAGCAACCUGCCCUUGACUCUGGGAUAACAGUUGGAAACAGCUGCUAAUACCGGAUACGACCUUCGAUGACAUCAUCUGGAGGUGGAAAGCGCUUUAGCGGUCAAGGAUGGGCUCGCGGCCUAUCAGCUAGUUGGUGAGGUAACGGCUCACCAAGGCUUCGACGGGUAGCCGGCCUGAGAGGGCGACCGGCCACACUGGGACUGAGAUACGGCCCAGACUCCUACGGGAGGCAGCAGUGGGGAAUAUUGCACAAUGGGCGCAAGCCUGAUGCAGCAACGCCGCGUGCGGGAUGACGGCCUUCGGGUUGUAAACCGCUUUCAGUUUCGACGAAGCGCAAGUGACGGUAGGAACAGAAGAAGGACCGGCCAACUACGUGCCAGCAGCCGCGGUGAUACGUAGGGUCCGAGCGUUGUCCGGAAUUAUUGGGCGUAAAGGGCUUGUAGGCGGUUUGUCACGUCGGAAGUGAAAACUCAGGGCUUAACCCUGAGCCUGCUUCCGAUACGGGCAAACUAGAGGAAUGCAGGGGAGAAUGGAAUUCCUGGUGGAGCGGUGGAAUGCGCAGAUAUCAGGAGGAACACCGGUGGCGAAGGCGGUUCUCUGGGCAUUUCCUGACGCUGAGAAGCGAAAGCGUGGGGAGCAAACAGGCUUAGAUACCCUGGUAGUCC